rnacentral:rRNA from 1 species
UCGAGAAUCUUUCACAAUGGGGGCAACCCUGAUGGAGCGACGCCGCGUGGAGGAUAAGGUCUUCGGAUUGUAAACUCCUGUCAUGUGUGAACAAGGUUGUCUCGUUAAUAGCGGGGCAAAUUGAUGGUAACACAAGAGGAAGAGACGGCUAACUCUGUGCCAGCAGCCGCGGUAAUACAGAGGUCUCAAGCGUUGUUCGGAAUCACUGGGCGUAAAGGGUGCGUAGGUGGCGUGGUAAGUCAGAUGUGAAAGCCCGGGGCUCAACCUCGGAAUUGCAUCCGAUACUGCCGUGCUAGAGUACUGAAGAGGUGACUAGAAUUCUCGGUGUAGCAGUGAAAUGCGUAGAUAUCGAGAGGAAUACCAACGGCGAAGGCAGGUCACUGGGCAGUUACUGACACUGAGGCACGAAGGCCAGGGGAGCAAACG